GAUGAAGAACGUAGCGAAAUGCGAUACGUAAUGUGAAUUGCAGAAUUCAGUGAAUCAUCGAAUCUUUGAACGCAUAUUGCGCUCUUUGGUAUUCCGAAGAGCAUGCUUGUUUGAGUAUCAGUAAACACCUCAAAGCUUUUGGAUUUUUUAAUCGAAAAGCUUUGGACUUGAGCAAUCCCAACACCAAUCUUUUUGAGAUCGGUGGCGGGUUGCUUGAAAUGCAGGUGCAGCUGGACAUUCUCCUGAGCUAAAAGCAUAUGCAUUUAGUCCCGUCAAACGGAUUAUUACUUUUGCUGCAGCUAACAUAAAGGGAGUUUGACCGUAUUGGCUGACUGAUGCAGGAUUUCACAAGGGUCGGCAACGAUUCUUGUUAAACUCGAUCUCAAAUCAAGUAAGACUACCCGCUGAACUUAAGCAUAUCAAUCAGCGGAGGA
rnacentral:misc_RNA from 1 species